UUUCGACUCAUGCUGUCCAACUCAGCACGCCCUACAGCCUAUUACUCUGACACAGAAUCCAUCUUUUUUGUGUGUGUGAAGUUAUUUUCUGUUCUAUCUGCUGUGUCUUUUUCCAGGAACUAGAAUGAAACAACUCAAUGAUGGAAUACUGAAGACUUGCAGGAAUGUUCACGCUUACAUUGGUCAGAAAUGGUAGAGGUAAAUAAGUGUUUAAACCAUGGAGAGGCUGGACACUGCAUAGGUGACAGGACAUACACAGCUGGCAAAGUGUGCAGUGCAGGUGGGAGCAACUGUUCCAAAAUGUGAAAAUAUCCCUGGAGGUCUUAAUGCAGUGAAAGAAUCACACUUUAUACCUCGUACGAUGGAGGGAAGAUAACAAUGGAGCCUUUUCCUAAUAAAAUAAAGGAGAAAUGAUAAAAUUAAUGAAGA
rnacentral:lncRNA from 1 species